UUACCCUUUCCUUCAUUAAAAGCUGAAGUUGCUUCUGGAUUUACCUGCUGCUCUAGAGUCUGAUUAUAACAGCCUCCAGUGAAUCUUCUCAUCAUUCUUCUUGCAUUAAAUAGUUGUCUUUGCCCUUGUCGAUAUCCUCUAAUUUGAUCCUCAAAUAGCGCCUAUUCCCGUUGUGUUGUCCUUUCUGAGACCAAAGUUCUUGAGGUCAUCAUUACCCCUUUAGCUUUUCUUGUUCUUCCUUGAGGAUUUUGAAGGGAUCUUUGUAAACUCAUAGUUUUCCUUUUCCUUCCUUUGGCUUCUCUUGGGCUCCAAGAGUUAGUCCUUGCAACUUUUCAAUUAGUGAGUCCGGAAUAACUGUUGUUGUGUUGCCGCUCCCUUUCUUGAGUUGCCUGAGAAAGCUCCCUAAUAUUUGCUUGGCUUCGGAAAACUAAUAGCAGGAGAUUCAAUGGAUUCUGUUGCUUGAACCGCCUCUUUAUAGGUUUGUGCUGCUCAUGCGGCGGUCCACCUUUCAAUUCAAUGGGGAAGUUUUUCUGCCCUUCCUAACUUCUUGUUGAGGUCUUCAGUAAGCUUAAGGGCCUCCUCUUUGACGAGUUUUGGUUGUUUAGUGAUUUUUGCAGCAAGUUCUCUUGCUUCCUGCUUUGUCAAGGGCUUGUUUUUUUUUAAAAAAAUAGUUGUAAGAUUUUUCAGAGCAACCCUUAGCUUGGAAAUUUCUCUUUCAAGAACCUGAUCCCUCUCUAGGAUGAUUUUAAAAUUUUUGAGGUUCACUCGGGAGGAUAGGCAGAUUCUAUCACAUACUACUGCUAGGUUGUGAGCUAAAUGGUUGAGACUGACUUUGGUAGUGGAGGUAAGGUCAAGGUACUCUAGGUUUGAGGUUUGGGAAUGAUCAUACCACACUCUUGGAUAGCCCUUUCCUAGGUUUCAGACAUACCGCUACUGUUUAAUUCUUCAUUAGUUAAUCACUCUUCCCGGCUCAUCUCCAGGGUUCACUAGACUUACCCUCUGCUGCCAGAUAUAAUGCCUUCACCUUCUGCCAAUACAAGUUUUUACCUUUGAGGUUUCAAGCAGAUGGGAAUGCCUUUGAUCCAGUUAUAGUUUUUCUAGGAGAUAGAUACUAUCACCCCUUACCUCUUCCCCAUGAAUACCCUGACCCUAACUAACUUAGGCUUUAUAUUAAUUAAAGAUAAUAUUUCCAGCAUAACUAAUCAUUUCACAUAAUAGUCAUUGAAGUAUCCAGAAAGAAUCUAGAUAUUUCCUGAGGUAUAUAAGACAAGAAUUCUACAUCUGAUACGACAACAUCACUGAAUGAUGCAUGUUUUGAGAUGUAACCCACUCCAUGAAAUGAAAGUGGUUCUCCUUGCAGCUUCAUUUGGUCGGCUGCUGGCAAGCACACUGAUUUUGAGAGCCAAGUUGGAGUUGGUGGUUACGGGGUACCCAGCUAUGAUAGCUUUGAAUGUAAAGAAGGGUGCUUAUACUCCACUCAAAAGUGCUUUUCAGCACGAUCAAAUCAUGCAACGAAUUUGUCAAAGAAGCAGGUCGUUGUGGAAAAGGGAACCUGCCCCUCCAAAACGCCCCAAGUAUUGUCAAAAUAGAACCAUGGGGUGUGAUGCGGUAAUGAUGAAGGGCUCUAUCUCGGUGACACGGUGGAUGUCAAAAGAGGUCAAAGUCAAGAUGGUCAACGGGUGGACGAUAUCGGUCGGUCAGACGAAUCACACUCCGACCGGGGAUUAAGCUUCGACCCACUGUCUUCAACACGAGCAAUCAAACCGAUGCUCAAAGGACGACGCGCAAAAGCCGAACCGAGCGACCCCUUCGCUCGGCCGAACAUCAGACGCAACGUCAGCCAAGCAUGCAGACAGUGGACUUCCGACCGAGCGGCUAUCUUGCUUGGCCCGACAACAGACAACACUCGGACAGUGGACUUCCGACCACUCGACCCAGCAACAGACAACAUUUAUGUUAGAGUAUAUACUAAAAGACUAGUUUUUUGUAAACAUUUAUUUUGAAAUAAAGAAUCACAUUAGUCAAA